rnacentral:rRNA from 1 species
UACGUAGGGUGCAAGCGUUAAUCGGAAUUACUGGGCGUAAAGCGUGCGCAGGCGGUUCGGAAAGAGAGGUGUGAAAGCCCCGGGCUCAACCUGGGAAUUGCGAUGGAGACUGCAAGGCUUGAAUCUGGCAGAGGGGGGUAGAAUUCCACGUGUAGCAGUGAAAUGCGUAGAGAUGUGGAGGAACACCGAUGGCGAAGGCAGCCCCCUGGGUCAAGAUUGACGCUCAUGCACGAAAGCGUGGGGAGCAAACAGG